rnacentral:piRNA from 1 species
UGAUGUUUCAGUUGCAAAGGACUGCC